GCGCGAUAAAUGUCUCGUUCUUCUAUCUAUUCGGACUGGGGGCUAUCUCAGGAAAUGUGGAAAUGGUAGCAGUCGAGUAGCUAUGCGACAACCAGAUACGAGGUUUACCCAGGACACAGAAAACAACUCUUCCUCUGCUUCCAAAUACAAGAGAUUGCCGACAUUCCCAACCAUAUUUAACCAGUCAGUCUCCCCGUGUGACUCGGAACUAUUGCCUGGAUACCCCUUAGGUUAGUCCUGGCUGUUGUCCGCUAAAAGUCCACGCCUGGUUUAGUAUUGGCCGCUUGAGUAGACUUGAGAACACUCAGGCUACCAAAGAAGACUUUCUGGCCAAUAUUCAGAUUCCAACAUUGAUUAAACAAAUCCAGGCGGACGCAGACAUCAGGCUGCGUCAACGCUAACCACGUGAAAGUACUCACAAUCAUCGAGAACAGCCGGGUCAGAUCAACCGUUCUUCCAACCAACACCAACCAGAAAAACACAACCAGCAAAACACAACCAGGGUAUAACCACCAAGCGCCGAAACCAGCAUAUGCUCACGUCGCUGCAAAUGACCCUAUCGCCCGACUCCAAGGAAGAACGCCGCAUAAGCCAAACGUCGAACCCAAUGCCUGACCAAAACCGAUAGUUUUGACAAGCUCCCGGAAACAUGUUGAGUUAUGGUUGAAACAUAAUCGAGAAGAAAGAUACGGCCAUGGCGAAUAAGAAAAUGACUAAAAUCGAGAAACAUGCCGAUGCGUUAUCAGUGGUCCAUCUCGGUAUACCAAAGAAGCCCAUACCUUUCAAGACACCAUGGAGAACGCCAAAGAAAUAGGUGUGGAGCGUUAAGGUAUACCAUCAAAGUCGUCGAAACGAAGUAGGGAAGCCCCGAGUACUGUAGGCACUGUGGAAAGCUCGCACCCGAGAGCGACAACCGAG